AUUGAACGCUGGCGGCAGGCCUAACACAUGCAAGUCGAACGGUAACAGGAAGAAACUUGCUUCUUUGCGGACGAGAGGGGGAGGGGGGAGAAAUGUCUGUGAAACUGUCUUAUGGAGGGGGGUAUCUAGUGGAAACGGUAGCGAAUACCGCAUAACGGAGCAAGGGCAAAGAGGGGGAGCUCCUGGCACCCUGCGAUCGGAAAUGCGCAGAUGGGAUUAGCUAGUGGGGGGGGUGACGGCUCACCCAGGCGACGAUCCCUAGCUGGUCUGAGAGGAUGAGCAGCCACACUGGAACUGAGACACGGUCCAGACUCCUACGGGAGGCAGCAGUGGGGAAUAUUGCACAAUGGGCGCAAGCCUGAUGCAGCCAUGCCGCGUGUAUGAAGAAGGCCUUCGGGUUGUAAAGUACUUUCGGCGGGGAGGAAGAGAGGCAGGUUAAUACCUCGGCUCAUUGACGGUACCCGAAGAAGAAGCACCGGCUAACUCCGUG
rnacentral:rRNA from 1 species